GGGCCGGGUCGCCAUCCCGCCCCGGCCCCGAGUCCCAGGUGCCGCUGAAGGUUGUCGUCGAGCUGCAGGUCCGCGGAGCAGGGUGUCCGGGGCGGCGGGGAGGGAGGGAGUAGCGGCGGGUCGCCCCAGGCAGCCGGUACGGGGGGAGGCAGAAUCUCGUCACCGCCGUUAUUCCGGGACCCAGAGGUGCCUCACCGUACGACACGGCGACACAUACAUGAACAGAUGCGCACCCGUAUACAGACCGUAUGUGUGCGUACGUACGUGUAUACACGUGUACUGUGAAUACUUGUGCGCGUACAUCUGUGACCGCGCCUUCAGUUCUAAGAGCUCCUGGGGAGCUGUCUGGUUUUUAACGGCUUGGUUCUCAUCUGGGAAUGGAAGUUCAUGUAAAAUGAGGCCAUACCUUUGCAGUCAUAAUACCCCUGUGAAGAUUAAAACGUGCCCUUGUUGUAGCCAUAGAUUCUCCUCCGUGGAGUUAUGUAGCUCUUCCUCCAAACAGGAGGCGCUGGCUGGUUAUUUGGGGCUGCGGGUAUAAAGUCUCCUAGAAAGAGUAUGCAAGGAAAAAGUUAGAUUAAAUGCGGGGUUUUUCUUGCUGUGUGACAUUUAUUUAAUGAAGGGGAUUACUGCUGUCGUGCAAAUGGAUGGUAGUAAUAUGUUGCUCAUAGCAGGUCUCCUCAUCAGAUGUAAGAAAAAGAACAAAAUGGUGGUUUUCAUUUGUUCGUUUCCUUGUGUUUGAAAGUGCCAUAGAUCCUGCUGCAGUAACUGAAAGGCUUGAAAGUUGCUCUGAAUUGCGUCAUCUGAGUGUCAGCCUCUACAACUGCCCCUCGAGUCAAUUACAUGAUUUUUCCGUUCUUAGACCAAGCUGUGUUCUGACACCUAGUGUAACACUGGGCUAACCUGACAGGUCUGCUUUUUAUUUUUUCGAUCAGCAAUUCUUUAUUU